CUGGCUGGGGCGGCGGCGCCGGUGGGUAGCUGGGUUUAGAGCAGGGGGACUACGGCUCGGCGUUGGGCUCAGUGCGGUCGGACGAAGGACAGGCCGGACAGGAAUCUUCGCGGCGUCUGUUGACGGCUAGCUGAGCGGCCAGUCGAGGCUUCUCGGGCGCCCAGUGCCCCCGCCGCGCGGUCUCAGGCGGCUUCUCGGUUCACCGCAGCCAGCGCCACGGUGGGGGCCCGGCCCAGCGGCACCUGCUGCCGAGCACCGCGCCCGCCAGGUGCUCAUGAUGGGGCUCAUCUUCCCUGAGCUAUGGAGCCACUUCUCUAACCAAGGAUCUGUUCUUUGAAGACUGUUUAGAAGAAAAGGUUAAAUGAUCCACUACCAGUGUGCCACCUUUGUGUACGAAAGGAGACACCAGAGAGGUAAGAGAAGAAUAGAAAUGCACUCAAAGACAGCUUUAGAGACUGAGUGACGACAGUGUAUCCAUUAUUGCUGUAGCCUAUGUAUUUACAAUUAGAGGCCUGACAGGAAAUAAUGAAGUAAUCUUUGAUCAAAUGCUGUCUGUGUUCUUUGAAAUCCACUGAAUCAUUUUUGCAAGACCGACAGAAAUCUUCAAACGUUCUAUCUGAGCUGCUUCUGAAACGUGCUAGAGACCAGUUAAAUUUGCGAAGUUUUUAUGGUUCUUUUAUAUCCUACACUGGACACUGUCACUUCUCAUUUUUAUUGAUGCGUUUGCCUCUACUGGACUUCCUGUGUUUAAUUUGCAAUCUAAGAUGAUCCAGGAUCGCUAUUUAAAAAGAGUAAUUUAUUUUAUAUCCAAUUCUUUCUAUCAAUUAGUAACUAUAUGUUAACAACCCAAUGACCUUUUAAAGAUGAAGGAGAAUGCCUGAAAUUCAUUAAAUGUCUCAGUGAACAGAUUCUACUAAUGCCUGUAAUGAAAGAGUGAGUCGACAUAAAGGAAAGUUCCUGAUAUUUAAAACUAGGUUUCUUUGUCUUCUUUUGUGGUAAAAUGUACAUAACAUAAAUUUAUCAUUUCAACCAUUUUUAAGUGUACAAUUCAGUGGCAUUAAACACAUUCACAUUCUUGUGCAGCCAUCACCACUAUCCAUCUCCAGAGCUUUGUCAUGAUCCCAAACUGAAGCUCUGCACCCGUUAAACAAUGACUCCCCAUUCUCUCAUCCCUCAAGUCCUUGGUAACCUAUAUUCUACUUUCUGUCUCUAUGAAUUUGCCUAUUCUACUUACCUCAUAUAAAUGGAAUCAUGCAGUAUUUGUCUUUUUGAGUCUGGCUUAUAGCACUUAGCAUGUUUUCAGAGUUCAUCCAUGUUGUAGCAGGUAUCAGAAUUUCCUUCGUCUGUAAGCCUGAGUAAUAUGCUAUUGUGUGUAUAUACCGUGUUUUGCUUAUCCCUUCAUUUGUUGAUGGACACUUUGGUUGUUUCCGCAUUUUGGUUAUUGUGAAUAAUACUGCUGUGAACACUGCUCUCAGUCUUUUAAACAGAUAUUUAACUAGUGAAGGUCAACUUUCUUUCACAGCAAAGUAUCAUCACAUACUGCGGUAAAGAGAUUUUGCUGUCAAGGUUGAUAUGAUGUCACUUCCUUCAAAGUCCAAGAACAAGCCUUGUUUGGUCUCUGUCUCAUUCCGCUGCAGGGUGUGUCAAGAAUUCGGUCAAAGGAUUCUGGUAAGAAUGGAGGUUCUCCUAUAAAGAGAAUUAUAAACACAUUUCUAUCUGCCCUAUUGGUCUAGAAUAGAAAACUCCUGAGAUAUAAACAAUUAUCAGGAAUUUGAAAUCAUAAUCUGGAAGAGAAAGUAAAGAAAAACAAUUUCUCCCUUCAAUCAAGUAGCUGGUGAAACUAAAUCUGAUUUAUAUUUAAUGUGGAUCUGAAUUUGUAAGAAGGUUAAAAAUGUGAUUAUGAUAGUUGAGGGUUACUCUGUUGAUGUGGUGCAAACAAGGCCUAAUCAAACGAGACCUUGUAUCCCCAGUGUCAGAAGCUACAGUUCAUCAGAGCUGGGACCUGGAAUUGAUUCUGGUCAUUCUGAGAGCUGACACUUCUCAUGGUAAUCCCUACUGCAGACAGCCCCAGAAACAGAGGGCACCUCUUAGGUUCUAGUCAGACAUAUGAUUCCUCAGUCUCUGCUUCUGUGGCCAUCAGCAAGGCUGUGCUCUAGAAUGAGUCAGUAAUCCCCCUGCAUCCUGUCUUCUACAGGUUUCCAUUUGCAUUCACUUGAAUAAUUUCCUCACUCCAACUUCUGAUCUAUUUAAUGUUACUGGACAAAUUCACGAAACCAAAUGGUCUGCUAAAUAUUUAUGCUAUCUAACUGCAAGCAAGAUAUUGCUGCUGACUGCUUUUGUACAAAGCUAGUUGAUUUCCUGCAGUACCCACAGCAGUGUUCUGAGUCUCACCCCAAGAUAACCUCCUGCUUUUCUCUGAUUGCAAAACUGUUAGACACAAGCUCUUAUCAAUUUCAUUCAUUUCCCAUCCUUUCUUGCUUACCUACUGUCUCAGAAGAAAUAUCUUUUCAAAGUAAGCAAUUAUUUUUAACGUUUUUGAUUCAUACUGAUAAAGUUCUCUAGAAAGACUAUACCAGUUUACACUCCAUUGUCCUGAGUAUGCUUGUGUUUGCAAAAGCCUCAUCAAAGUUGAUAAUUAUUUUACUGCCCAUUUGUAUUUUUUCUUUAUAUGGUUCCAUUGUUUGUCUUUGUCUUUUUCUUAUUGAUUAGAAGAGCUCUUUGUAUAUGAAGGAUGUUAAUCUCUCCUCUGUUACUAUUUUAUAAAUGUUUCCCACAAUUUUUCAUCUGCCUAAGUUUUUGUUUUUACAAACAUAAAUGUUAAGUAUUAAAUCUUUUUCCUUGUUGAGUUCUACCUUUGCUUUUGUGCUGUAAAAUCUUCAUCAUUAUGAAAUCAAAUAAAUGUUCAUCUAUAUUUGCUUCUGGUUAUUUUCACUGUUCAAUUCUUGACAGUAAAACUUAAUCCAUCUGAAGUUACUUUUGUGUACUGUCCUUUUUUCUCACCCUCCAAAAUAUAUAAUCUCAGAGCUAUUUAUUGACUAAUUUACUCUUGCCUCUGGAUUUGAAAUGCUUCUUUAUUGUGUACUAAAUUGCUGUAUACAUUUGGACCUGUUUCAAAAGCUUCUCUUCUGCUCCACUUUAGCUUAAGUUAUUAAGCUAUAUUUUCUGAGUGCCAAAUCUACCCUUCUCUCCUCUGCUGUGUGGUGCUGGGGUGAGAACUUCUGAACUACGAUUCUACUUUGCCUGCUGACUCCUUUCAAGAUUCACCGGCAGGAGGCAGAGGAGUGUUGGGGAGUGGGGAAAAGAUGUUAGAUAAGAGGAGUAGAGAACAGACUUCGUCUUUCCUGUUUCCUUGCUAUUUCUGUCAAAAGCAUCCUAGCAGUAGUCCUUUAUCUUGGCAGCUGCAGUUUCCAGCUUUUUCCCUUAAGUAUCAACAUGGAGUGCACAAAGCCCCCACCCUCAGAGGUCUGUGUCCGAGCUGCAUGCGGCUGCCUGCUCGUUGAGGAAUGAGUAGCAGGCACAGAAAAAUCCUUGAAAGUCAGGAUGUUUGCAAGCCCACAAGAUACCUGUGUGUGAACUAGAAUGAAGGUGUACCCAUCUCUGGAUUAACACAGUUCUGCACCAUGAUGAACAGAGUAUGGGCUGGAUUUCAGACCCCCAUUCACCCCUCAGCUGGAGCCCUUGUACAGGGCACAACCAUACAGUGUGGCCCUGAUGAGGGUAGUAGCAAUGCCUAAUCAUUGAACUCACUGUUCCUAAUAAGUACAGUUUUCACAGAAGGUACUGGAUGACUAUGCAGAAAUGAAAAUAAGGAACUCAAAAAUAUUCUAGACCUGUCUUAGAUCAGACCAAGAUCACCAAAAUGACCCCCACAUGUGCCUGGACCAAGUGAAAUUUCUCUUAUUUAAGCUAAAAAGGCAUGGGAUAAAUAAGCUUAAAUGCAGUGCAAGAGUACCAGUAUUUUUAUUUAUUCAAACGUUUUUCUCAUAAUAUGUAAUCUUGCAACUACCUUUAGUGAUUUCCAAAACUACAUUAUUUUGGGGUGGUGUAUAAUUUAGGAGCAAUGAUAUGUUAAAAAUAAAUGAGAUUGAGACAACUUUUGAAUGAGGGCAUGAGGGAUUCUGCAGAGCUUCUCUCCAGUAAAACAGCCAUAACUGGUGAAUAUUAUUUCAAAAAACCCCGAACACUCACUGUUUAAAGUCUCUGGAAAAUGUGCAGGACAUACAUCAAAUGAAGAAACAUUUAUUCAAGAAAAUCUACUACAUUUUACUAAGAAUAGUGAGAAUCUCUGGCAUUUGAGCCACAACCCGCUCCUCUGCCCCAACUGCCUUCCCCUCCCUGAAGCUCCAAGUGAGGGAAGAUCCACUUCGUGUAGGUGUCACCAAGAACACAUGGCUCCUGCUCCCUCUGAGCUCCCAGUCAAGGAAUACGGUACCUCACUGGGAGGGUCAGGCAUGCCAGCUUUUCUCACCUCCCAUCCACCUCAAGUCCCAUGUUGCAGAGGUUUGAUUCCAGGUAAGAGGAGCUGAAAACUCUGGGGCUGCUUUCCUCCACUCAGCUUCCACUCAUAAGUGGGCAUUUCUACCCCAGGUACAGCAGCCUGAGAGUACCAAAGCCCCGUCUGUCCUCCUCCCAACUUGCUGAUGGUGAAAAUGUUCUGCAUUUGUAUAGGCAAGCUGAAGAAAACAGGCUGCUGCUGCCCCAGCCCAGCACUGUGCUCAGUCACGAAGCAUCGCUCCAAGAGAAACAGGCCAUUCUCUUGCCCCCAGCUCUGGAGCAGUGGCCCAGAGGUUUUGCCUAAGGGGAGAAGCAGAAAGUAAGAACAGAGAACACAAACACUCUCCCCAAGUGAACUGACUUUAUUUGGACCAGAAUGUUGGGAAGUUUAAGCCUGAGGGUACUCUUGAAAAUAGUGGAGAUUGUGGUGGUAAGCAAUUAAAAGGAGGCUGGUAGCUCCAGGAAAGCAAUAAGCUAUGCCACAGACCAGCCAGAAGUUUACCUGAGAACUCAGGAAUGGGACAGCUAAGAAGAGCCCUCCUGGGUUGGGAACAAACCUCAAAGUCUGGCUGCAAAAAUUACUCAUGCAAAGAUUACCCAUUCAAAGUUAUUGGAUCAAAGUAGUAAAACAAUUUAUGCCCCCAAACACUGUUGAAAACAAUAGAGCAAUCAACCUGCAAUUAGCAGAGGCUAACAGCAUCUUGUGAUACUAAACAAAACAGACAGUUUAACACAAAGAUCAGGAAAAGAGAAAAAGAGAGCCCUCAUAAAACUGUCAUCCCAGGGUUGCUGUGUGCACACCCAUGAAAUAUACUUUACUAAAAUAGUUCAGCCAUCACAGUAAACAACUAUAAGCCUGGGGAGGAGCAGAUUUGUAUCUAAGGUUAUUACAGUUUAUUAUCUAAAAUGUCCAGUUUUCAACAACAAAAAAUUACAAGCUAUACAAAGAAACAGGAAGGUGUGACCCAACUCAACAGAAACUAUCUUCGAGAGGGCCUAGAUGCCAGAUUUAGCAAAGAUUUUAAAACAGCCAAUAAAAAUAUGUUCAAAGAAUUAAAGGAAAAGAAAUCAAGCUUAAGAAAGUAAAGGAACAUGUAAUGACAAUGUCUCACCAAAUGGAAUAUAUCAGUAACAAGAAGUUACAAAAAAGAAACCAAACAAAUGGAAAUUACAGAGUUGAAAAUAAAAUAAAUAAAUGAAAAAUUUACUAGGAGAGCUCAACCAUAGAGUGAAGAUGACAGAAAAAAAGGAUCAGUACUUGAAGAUAAAUGAAUAGAAAUUAUGCAAUCUGAAGAUCAGAGAGAAAAAAGAAUGAAGAACAGUGAACAUAGCCUCAGAAAUGUAUGACACCGUUAAAGGCACCAAGAUAGGCAUAAUGAAAGUAUCAGGAAAAGGAGUAGAAAAAUACUCAAGAAAAUUAUUGAGGAAGCUCAAUGAAUUUUAAGUAGGACAAAUGCAAAAAGAUCUAUAAUCAGACACAUCAUAGUAAAAAUUUCAAAGGCAAAGAGAAAAAUCUUUAAACCUGCAAGAGAAAAACGACUCAUGUACUAGGAAACCACGCUAAGAAUAACAGAUGGUUUCUCAUCAGGAAGCAUGGAGGCCAAAAGGGAGUGGGAUGAUACAUUGAAAGUGCAGAAAGGGGGGAAAAUCCUGUUGACGAAGAAUUGUAUAUCCAGCAGAAUUACCUUUCAAAAAGAAAGGUAAAGUAGAGAUGCUCCCAAGUAAACAAAAACUGAGAGAACUGUUGCUAGCGGACCCACCUUAUAAAAAAUAUUUCUAAAAGUUCUCCAAGCUGAAAGCAAGUUAUACCAGAACAUACUUUGAAUCCAAAUGAAAAAAACAAAGAUCCUGGGUAAACAUAAUUAUGUACUUAGAAAAAUUAGUAUAAAUGUAUAUUUAUUCUUUCUUAACUAAUUUAAAAAUCAGUUGUAUAAAACAAUAUGUAUAUAAUUGUUUUGCUAGACCUAUAUAUGUAAGAUAUGUAUAUAGCAAAUGCAAUAUAUUUGUCAAAAACAACACAAAGGGUGAGUGGGAGCAAAGCUGUAUUAGAGGAAGGAAAUGGUACUAGAUGGUAACUGAUCCAUAGGAACAAAUGAAGAGAACCAGUAAGAAAGAUAAUAUAACAAAAUCUAAAAUUAUAUAUUUUUUCUACUUUCUUCUCUCAGUUUCUUUUGGAAAUUUUAUACACCUAAAAUAUAUAAAGUAAUAGUAUAAUAAUGUAUUGUUGAGUUUGUAACACAUAAAGUGAAAAGUCAUUGAAAGAAUUAAAAUGUUACAUUAGUUUAUAUGUACUCGAAAAAGCAAGCAUGAAAGGACAGAGAAACACACAAAAAAUGAGCACUAUAGAAAACAAAAAGUAAAAUGACAGAUGUAAAUUCAAUUAUAUCAAUAAUACCAUUAAAUAUGAAUGGAUUAAACAAUCCAAUCAUAAGGCAGAGAUUGUCAGACUAGAUUUUAGAAGAACAAGAUCCAAGUAUAUGCUAUCUACAGGAUACACACUUUAGACUUAGAUAUAAAUUGAAAGUAAAAGACUCAGGUUGAAAGCAAAAAAAAAAAAACAAGAAAUAUCGUACAAAAAGAAACCAUAAAGAAGCUGGAGUGGAUAUACUGAUAUUGGACAAAACAGACAUUAAAACAAAAAAAAAUUUUAUUAAUGAGGACAUCUUAUGACAAAAGUAUCAAUCUAUAAGAAAAAAACGAUUGUAAACAUGUAUACACCUAACAAAAGAACCUCUACUGGGGCAGAAGCUGUCUUGGACCCAGAGACGAAAAUAACAGCAUGGCAUACCCACUUCUAUUAGGUGAAACAAAAAUAAAUAAUAAAACAAACAAAGAAACAAAAAACGCUUCUGUCUUUUCUAAGCUGCUAUAUUUUGGAUCUCUGGCAUGGCCCGUUAGCCUGUACACUAAUAUAAAUCUCCUGCAAACCCCUGGCUAUCUAUCUAGUGUUGACAAACUGACCAUGCAAUGAUGUCCUCAUGUAAUUAGGCAAUUCAGUGUGACCUAUUCCCACCUCUGUAAGAAGACAAAUAAUAGCCCGGACAUUGUUCCCUAGAACAGUCUCUAUUGUUCUAGGAAGGAUUCCGUGUGUUUCUGUUUGUGGUUUGCUUUUUUAACCCCAUGUGUUUUACUACAAAUUAGGCAGCUGUUACAAAAUAAUUUCUCUCUUGCCAUGAGUCUCAAAUAUAUGUUGAUUUUCAUAUCACUACUGAUGUAUUUUCCAUCAAACCAAUUGGGUCUACUGCCUGACAUUUUGAGUUUAACACCCCAAAUCAAACUACCAGAAAAUAUCUGAUGAAACAAGUCUUGGUGAAAAAAGAACUAAAGGUGAUGCCCUAUGACCAUUAGGUAAUGAAGUGAUACGGAGGAGUGAAAAAUCAAUGAUCAAACAUCCUGCUAGUUAAUAGAUUGUCUCGUUAUAGCACUGAAGACUGACCUCUAAGAUGGCUUCCCCAAUAUGUUGAUUGUUCAUACCCUAACCCCAACAUAUUAUGCUUGUGAAUAUGAUCUCUUUAAUUCAAAGAUAUGUAAAACUUGGUGACCCACCAACAGUUUUAGUAAAGUGAUAGCGAUAGAUUA